rnacentral:rRNA from 1 species
AAAGGAAUAGACGGGGGCCCGCACAAGCGGAGGAACAUGUGGUUUAAUUCGAUGAUACGCGAGGAACCUUACCCGGGCUCGAACGGCGGCCGGCCGGGGCUGAGAGGCCCCUUCCCUUCGGGGCGUCCGUCGAGGUGCUGCAUGGUUGUCGUCAGCUCGUGCCGUGAGGUGUCGGCUUAAGUGCCAUAACGAGCGCAACCCUUGCCGCCAGUUGCCAUCACGUUUGGGUGGGGACUCUGGCGGGACUGCCGCCGCAAGGUGCGAGGAAGGGGGGGAUGACGUCAAAUCAGCACGGCCCUUACGUCCGGGGCGACACACGUGUUACAAUGGCGGCCACAGCGGGAUGCUACCGGGCGACCGGAUGCGGAUCUCGAAAAGCCGUCUCAGUUCGGACCGGAGUCUGCAACUCGACUCCGCGAAGCUGGAUUCGCUAGUAAUCGCGCAUCAGCCACGGCGCGGUGAAUACGUUCCCGGGCCUUGUACACACCGCCCGU